rnacentral:lncRNA from 1 species
GGCGGCUGGUUUUUCACACAGGAAUCCUCCUCGCCACCGCUCCCUCGAAGGCCGCCCCCCGCUCCACCCCCAGCACUGGGCGCCCGCGCCUCCCAACUCAGCCCGCCGCCGAGCAGACGGCGCGCCGCGAGAGGGAGCUUGAGCUCUUGAGAAAGACAUGAAGGCCCUUGCCGCUGUCGGCAUCACUCCUUCCUCCCUAAUCCGGUCAGUUAAUUGCUGAGUGCUCGCUUCCUGAUCUGCGUGAUGGCCUCGGAACCGGGCUGCGUGUAGACCUGGGUGACUAUCAGCUCAGCUCCCAAGUGGAGGGCCUCGGAAGACGCUCUGUGCGGCCUACUAACAAGCACGAGUGCUGGCACAAAAGAAGAUACAAAAUUGACUAAAACUCAAUUCCCCAUCGUUGACACUUCUACAGUUUAUUAA